AGUGAACGCUGGCGGUAGGCCUAACACAUGCAAGUCGAACGGCAGCACAGUAAGAGCUUGCUCUUACGGGUGGCGAGUGGCGGACGGGUGAGGAAUACAUCGGAAUCUACUUUUUCGUGGGGGAUAACGUAGGGAAACUUACGCUAAUACCGCAUACGACCUACGGGUGAAAGCAGGGGAUCUUCGGACCUUGCGCGAUUGAAUGAGCCGAUGUCGGAUUAGCUAGUUGGCGGGGUAAAGGCCCACCAAGGCGACGAUCCGUAGCUGGUCUGAGAGGAUGAUCGGCCGCACUGGAACUGAGACACGGUCCAGACUCCUACGGGAGGCAGCAGUGGGGAAUAUUGGACAAUGGGCGCCAGCCUGAUCCAGCCAUACCGCGUGGGUGAAGAAGGCCUUCGGGUUGUAAAGCCCUUUUGUUGGGAAAGAAAAGCAGCAGGUUAAUACCCCGCUGUUCUGACGGUACCCAAAGAAUAAGCACCGGCUAACUUCGUG
rnacentral:rRNA from 1 species